GGUCAGUUGAGUGUAGUCAAACGAAAAGAGAAGAAGUUUUCAAACAGAACAGAACACAUCGUGUUUUAGGCCCCUCCACCCAAACACAAACACAAACACAAACACAAACGUAACAAAUUUCAAAUGGAAAUAUUGAUCUCCAUUGAGAAGGAGGAGGAAGUCAGUUUGCCAAAAUCAAUUUCAAGUCAAAUCAGAGGAUGGAGAGGCACAUGAAGAGAGCCCGGAAGUACCAAAUCGAAGAGAUGCAGCAGCUUGGCAGCAAUUUCUUUGAGAAUCACAAAGUGCCAAGCCAUGGGGUGAGUUGCUUCUAGUAAGAGCUUUGCUGAUCAAUCAUUGAACAUCUUUCCGCUCUUCAGCAACACCAGAGCUUUGCUGGGACAAACCCCAACAAGGUGAGGAUCUCUCUCUCUCUCUCUCGGUGUCCUUCUGGUCUCACUGUUUUUUGUUUCUUACCCGGAAUAAAGCCGCAGCUCCGAGAGAUAACCUACGCCGUGAGCCGACUGUCCAACAAGAAUGUGAAUGCGGCAACGCCCUUGGGAGUGAUGAUUUCGUAUCGGUGUUAGAGGUGGAUUAGCACCCUAAAAAGCACCUUCCAGAGGGAAGAGGAUCGCUAUUUAGCGCGGAAUCAGAGCUCCCCUGCGUUCUGCUCUUUAUUGUGUUAUAUAUAAGUUAAUAAUAUGGCGGAAGACUCUUUUGUCGUGGCCCCAAAACAAGGCACGGUCACCGCUUAUUAAAUGAUUGAAGCCGUU
rnacentral:lncRNA from 1 species